CAUGGGUAGGUUCUCUCUCCAUGGGGAUGAUUUUCUUUUGCUGCCCAAUAGUCAGCGUCUUCACAGACCUAUUUGGUUGUCGGAAAACAGCUGUCGUGGGUGCUGCUGUUGGAUUUGUUGGGCUCAUGUCCAGUUCUUUUGUAAGAAUAAGGAUCCCCAACCCCUGUGCCACAGACUGGUACGGGUCCAUGGCCUGUUAGGAAUUGGGCUGCACAGCAGGAGGUGAGCUGUGGUUCCAUCGAGCCUCUGUACCUUACCUAUGGAAUCAUAUUUGCCUGCGGCUGCUCCUUUGCAUACCAGCCUUCAUUGGUCAUUUUGGGACACUAUUUCAAGAAGCGCCUUGGACUGGUGAAUGGCAUUGUCACUGCUGGCAGCAGUGUCUUCACAAUCCUGCUGCCUUUGCUCUUAAGGGUUCUGAUUGACAGCGUGGGCCUCUUUUACACAUUGAGGGUGCUCUGCAUCUUCAUGUUUGUUCUCUUUCUGGCUGGCUUUACUUACCGACCUCUUGCUACCAAUACCAAAGAUAAAGAGAGUGGAGGUAGCGGAUUCUCCCUCUUUUCCAGGAAAAAGUUCAGUCCUCCAAAAAAAAUUUUCAAUUUUGCCAUCUUCAAGGUGACAGCUUAUGCAGUGUGGGCAGUUGGAAUACCACUUGCACUUUUUGGAUACUUUGUGCCUUAUGUUCACUUGGUGAGUAUGCUCCUUCACUGAUCAUGAAUAUUACUAUUUAAUAAAGA
rnacentral:sRNA from 1 species